ensembl:lncRNA LINC02524 long intergenic non-protein coding RNA 2524
AACUCACUUUAAUUCUAUAUCCACCAACAGUAAACAAACUAUUCACAGGAAGAAAACAAAUUGCUUUUGAGUCACAGAGGAAAGAGUAAGAGAAAAUUGCUAAUAUUUAUUGUGUGUUUAUUACUAGGUCAACUCAGAUUCUCCAAGAAGCAGGCACCAAGACAGAAUUAGAUGUGAAAGAAAUACACUCAGAGAAAUGCUCUUGAAGGAUAAAGACGCCAAGGAGCAAGAGGAACUGUAAAAACCUCCAGAUCAUGUUGCUGUUUUCAAUAGUUCUUUAUAUAGAACUAAAUGAAAUUGUCUGAGUUUUGACAAUUAUAAUAUUUUAUUUCUGAUUAAUCAGAAAAUAGUUUGCCAUAAAAAUUUAUCACUUCUGAUAUUAGCACAUAAAUUUGUUUUUAUUGUAAUUUCAAAACUAAUGUCAAGACUGAGCAAAUCAUAAGAUGGAAGCACCUGUGAGUGCCUGGGACCCUCAAGAUCAUCAAAUCCAGCUUUCCCUGCAGAGAUGGUCUUUCAACUUUUGCCUGAACAUCAUCCUUGUGAGGGAAAUCGUUUCAUCACAAAGCAAUCCAGUUUACUACUGGAACACUGCAAUUAUUUGAAGCAAAACAUCUGGAUCUACUGGAUAACACUGCUCACCAACACUGGUCAUCUUUGUCUUUACCCAAGGCAAGUAUGCCACCUUAUAAAGGACUUUGCACUGGACAUGAUGGUUUACACCCUACUCGAGAGGCUGAAGUGGGAAGAUCAUUUGAGCCCAGGGGUUCAAGACUGCAGUAAGCUAUACUCAUUCCACUGCACUCCAGCCGGGGUGACAGAGUGAGAUCCCCAAUAAUAAUAACAAAUAAAUAAUAAAGGAGUUUGCUUCUGUUGA